CAACUGAUGAAAACUUCUGUUUUCAGUCAGGCUCCAUGGGUAAAAAGCACCCAAGAAGUCUAAUGAACUUUUUAAGAAAUUCCAUUUCUUUGUUAAUAAUGAUGGUUAAAACUAAGUGGUCUGUCUGGGCUAUUUUUAUGCUCACAAUGAUUCAGAGAAGACAAGAAAAUUCAAUUUUGCCUAGGUCCUAAAGUUUCCAAGAUUGUUUUAUAGCAUUCCAGAGUAUUUUUCUCUUGGCACUGAACUUAAAAAAUUGCAGAAUAGGUUUGGAGCCCAUUUGGGUGUUUAAUUGGUUUUUUUUUUAAAAUUGACUUUUUCCCUUUGCAAAUCACCACCUUUUAAGUGGAAGCACAGAUUCAUGGCAAUACUCAUGGUUUUAUUUACUUUUCUUAGUAUUCCCUCACAUUCUCCUUAAUCCAUGCAAACCACAGUGAUUCAUCUUCAGUUGAAAAGCAGUGCUUUAGGAAAACCUCUCCAGCUCCUUCCCGAUGCUUUCAGUUGAACUGGUUGUACUUUAACCAAUUCAGCACUGUUGACUCAGAAGCACAUGCUCAGGUCUUCAGUGCGGAAGGUCCAAGUCUUGGCCACAGGAGCUGAGGCUGAAGGGCCAGAGCCUGGUGAGUGCUAAAGAACUUGGCCAGUCCCACCUUUGCUCCAAAAACUUCUUCUUAGGUUGCCCACCAGAUACCUUAAAGCUGCCAGUUCCUCACAUCUGCUGCCAACUGUGUCAAAAUUACUUCUGCUCGUUUCCUGUAGAUGAUUCUAACAGUACUGGGCGUGCAUGCAAGUUAUGAUAGCUCUGAGCAGGAGGUAUAAUGUUCAAAACACAGAUCAAAGGAGGGCUGGAAGCUUGCAGCAGAAGUAGACCCUGCCAUAAAACUAGGAGCUGGCAUUCAGAGCUAUCCAAGGCCAACACUGGAAACUCUUUCCACAUUUCAAUCAUGCCUGCAAGCUGUAAGAAACCUGAAGAAAUGGCACUCUAAAUGUCAUGCCAAAGAGGGACGAUAUAAAGGGUGUCUUCUCAUGGGGAAUGGUGACUCACCUGCUUCCCUGGGCAGACUGAUCCAAUGCAUGAAACCUGUAGCAGUCUAAGAACUCAGUAACCAGGAGCUGUUUCAUAAACUGUGUGAACAUGGAAGUAACAAACCUCUAGUGUUUGGACAAAGGAAUAUAAGUAUCAGAAAAGGUCAUGGACUUGGGUCUGGGCCAAAUGCACGAUAUAGUCAUGACCCACAGGCUUCCCAAGAGUGCAAACAGAAGAAGGAAAUUAUCCUACUUUACCUAAUCGAAUGGUGGAAGGCAACACAUUGCAGUGGACUCAUGAGACCAGCAAACAUAUUGGAAGGAUUAUUUUUUCCCCAUUAGAAGUAUGAACAGUCUUCUCAGAUUGUCAACAUCACUUACUGCUAAUUAGGUUAGGAUGAAAAAUAUUUUUGCACCAAUUUUAGACUGAAAUGACAUAGGAAUAUGUUUGCUGAGUCCUCAGCAAUAACUUAGAAGUGGAAACAGUGAUGUCACAUGGCUCAAGCCCUAGGUAUAUUGUUUUCUGGCCAAACCAGCAAAAGGUUUACUUGAUAGAUUAGCAGGCAUACUCAUAUCAAAAAACAUAUCAAAUCUAAGAGAACCAUGCUGAAUCUAAUCUAAUACACCAAGCAAUAAAGUUGUCAGGGAAAGUGCCCA
rnacentral:lncRNA from 1 species